UCUUAGUCAUUUUUUGAUCUUUAGUGUAAUGCUUUGAUUGGUGCUUGUUGUUUAUUUUUAUUCAUUGCAUUACAUAUUUGAAUGAUUUUUGGUGCAUUGAUUUUUUUUUAUCAUUUGAGGAGAAGGUGUUUGGGAAUUUCAAUUGGUAUUGAAAAAGGAGAUGAUUGAGAAUCGUUUUUGGAGAGAAAGUUUUUUUUUUUUUAAAAAAAUUGUUUAAAUGGGUUUUAUCUUCACAACCAUAUUAAGUUAAAUUCAUAUUAAUUAUCGUCUUUACUCCACUAUUUAUUAUUUUGACGAUAAUUUAUUAUAUGAUUUCUUAAUGCAUAUAUUCAUCAAAACUUUGAAAUCAAAUUUGAUUUUUUGGUGAUUAAUUCAUCUUGGUUGUGAGCGUUGGAUAUGAUGAAUGGGUAUUCUCUAAUUGACUAAAAUUCGUCAAAAUUAUUUUCAAUUGUGAGAUUGUCUAAUUUAGGGGGAGUUUGAAAUUGUUUAAAAAUAAAAAAAGGAGAAAAAGAAACUCCUAAGUUUAAAAAGAUGUGGAAAGAGUUACAUCCAAAAGGAGUGUGAAAACUACCACCACAUGUAGGAAAGAGCUACCACCCCGGUCGUCCGGCAAGUGUGUGAAGCUACCACAUGAAGAUUAAAUUGGAUAAGCCGAAAAAGGUUGGAAAAAUAUAAAUAUUUUAGAAUUUUCGGAGUAAUAAGGUGCUAGUUUGAAAAAGAUGCUCAAAGAGCCACCCCCGGUGCCAUAUUAGUUAAAUCUCUAUUUUGAAUGUAUUGCAACAAAUUGGUGUCAAUUUUGUUGAAUUUCUAAAUAUCAUUUUUCAUCAACUUACAUCUUGAUGUUUUUGAAUCAUUAAAUUAUUUUUGAUUUUGAAAUUUUGAUGUUUUGAUGUGUUUUGAAAUUUUAUAAUAUCUUAUUUUCAUUACAAUGAUUUUUGGAGUAAAAGCCUUAACUAUAUGAAUUUAAUUUAAAUGUGAUGGAUUUUUAAAGUAUAUUUUUCGGAAAAAAAAAUUUUCACAUUUUGGUCCUUGUACCGGAACAAGAACCCGUGUACCGGUACAAGGUCUGCGGCCGAGCGGAAUAUAACCGGGUAUAACGCUUCGAUCUUUUUCAAAACUCAAUCGUUUUCCAAAAUUUUUGGUUCUGCGAGCUCUAGAGACUCUCUUUCAUUCGUUCUACACAUUUUCCCUGUGAAUUUGUAAGUUUUUAGCAUCAAAUUUGUGAGUUUUAUCCCGAUUUUGCUAUUUUCACAGUUUUUGCGGGAUAAGGGUUUGAUCUCUGCUCUAAUCCGUUUUUGAUACAAUUUUUUGCUAUAGAUCAGUGUCUUAGGCUAUUACCUUGCUUGUAGAACACUUGAACAACAUCAAAACAAGUUAUUUUUCGCUGAUCUAGAAUUUAUGCUUUAAUAUGCAUGUAAUUUCGGGAUUUUUUUUGAAAAGUUCAAUUUUUGCUGAAAUUUUUUGCAUGAUUUGGUUAGAAAUAGCAUUUGUAUGCAUUCUAAUGUUAUUAGAAAUUUUUUCGCUAUUUUUAUAGAUUUUUUUUUAAAAAUUUGUUCAUAUAUGCAAUUUUUGAUAUAGGAAAAUGGGAUUUUUACUCGUACUGGUGCUUUUGGUGCUUAUGGCUGGGAGACGAAGCCGUGGCAGUGGUAGAGGUCGUCAUGGGGUUUCUAAAAGGACACGUACCACUGAAGAAGCGUCCGGGUCUGAUCCGGAUUAUCAGGAGAGCUCCUCUGAAGAAUCUGAAGAACCUAUUGCGCAACUUGACAAAGGCAAAGGUUUAGCUGGAGAAUCAUCUCACGGUGGUGGUUCUCGUACUCGUGAGGGACGUUCAAAACAAGCUGCAGAGGUUCCUCCAGCACGGCGAAGGUUGUUUGCAUCAAAGUCGUGCAUAGCUGAAUGC
rnacentral:lncRNA from 1 species